UCAAAUCUGUGCAAUCCUUGAGAAAGGGCUUGUAGCCCGAAUCGCGCUGGAAGCGCUGCUAACGGACAUUCAGGUGACCGGGAUUGCAACUCCCAGACCGCGCUGCACAGCGCACACAAGCCACAACAAGACCAGGACUCUUACUCAUACAUCGCGCUACACAGCACAUACUGUAGGAGCUGUGGCCAGAGCGGGGGGACCAGCCAGAGGAAGAAGGCAGAGUGCAGCAAAACUAGGGGAAAGGUGUGAAACAGGACUUUCAUACUAAAAACUUCACAAAAUAAGAAUGUCUUCUGUAAUGAAAUUUUUUGGGAAAGAUGAUGACAAGGAUAAAGACAAGCAUAAGGAGAAGAAAGAAGAUGACAAAAAUGACAAAAAAGACAAGAAGAAGAAGAAAGAGAAAAAGGAUGGAGAUAAUUCAUGCAGCAGUUCCAGUUCUGACAGCGACUCUGAUGGAGGAAAAAAGAAAAAGAAGGAUAAACACUAGCUCCCCAGAAUGCAGAGGUCCGGCUAGAUGAUACCAGAAAUUAGUCUCUCUUACAUUGUAAAUUCAUGAAAUAUUUUAUAUUUUAUGUUUCUGUUAGAUUGCUUAAUAAAAU